AACGAACGCUGGCGGCAGGCCUAACACAUGCAAGUCGAACGCACCGCAAGGUGAGUGGCGCACGGGUGAGUAACACGUGGGAAUGUACCCUUUGGUUCGGAAUAACGUUUGGAAACGAACGCUAAUACCGGAUGAGCCCUACGGGGGAAAGAUUUAUCGCCAAAGGAGCAGCCCGCGUCUGAUUAGCUAGUUGGUGGGGUAAAGGCCCACCAAGGCGACGAUCAGUAGCUGGUCUGAGAGGAUGAUCAGCCACACUGGGACUGAGACACGGCCCAGACUCCUACGGGAGGCAGCAGUGGGGAAUAUUGGACAAUGGGCGCAAGCCUGAUCCAGCCAUGCCGCGUGAGUGAUGAAGGCCUUCGGGUUGUAAAGCUCUUUCGCACGCGACGAUGAUGACGGUAGCGUGAGAAGAAGCCCCGGCUAACUUCGUGCCAGCCGCCGCCGUAACAC
rnacentral:rRNA from 1 species